rnacentral:misc_RNA from 1 species
GUUGAUUUCUACUUUUUUCGAUGGCUUAAUGAAUUGGAUUUUCAACGAGAAGAGAAAAAGGAUGUUCGUUGUAUCGUACAAUCGUCGUGUCGAUCUGAAUCACAUCGUCGUAGAGGAACCACAUCCAAUCGAAUCACCAAGUUAAAGAACCGACGAUCAUUUUGCAAGAAAACACAUUAAUCUCGAUGUACCAGGUCUGUAAAUAUGAAACCGGAAUUUGCCUAUAGAUGGCCCUAGCCGAUAAUGUAGUUAUCACUAAACUGCAUCAUUGAUGUCAAAAGUCUUUGUUGACAUCUCAC